GUCAAAGCGUUCAUUAAAGUCGAGUUGGCUUAGGGAUACGUUCGUUGGGUAGGGGAGCGUUCUGUAAGCCUGUGAAGGUGUGUCGUGAGGCAUGCUGGAGGUAUCAGAAGUGCGAAUGCUGACAUAAGUAACGAUAAAGCGGGUGAAAAGCCCGCUCGCCGGAAGACCAAGGGUUCCUGUCCAACGUUAAUCGGGGCAGGGUGAGUCGACCCCUAAGGCGAGGCCGAAAGGCGUAGUCGAUGGGAAACGGGUUAAUAUUCCCGUACUUGGUGUUACUGCGAAGGGGGGACGGAGAAGGCUAUGUUGGCCGGGCGACGGUUGUCCCGGUUUAAGCGUGUAGGUGUGUGUUCCAGGUAAAUCCGGUUCACUUUAACACUGAGGCGUGAUGACGAGGCACUACGGUGCUGAAGCAACAAAUGCCCUGCUUCCAGGAAAAGCCUCUAAGCAUCAGGUAACAUCAAAUCGUACCCCAAACCGACACAGGUGGUCAGGUAGAGAAUACCAAGGCGCUUGAGAGAACUCGGGUGAAGGAACUAGGCAAAAUGGUGCCGUAACUUCGGGAGAAGGCACGCUGACACGUAGGUGAAGUGAUUUACUCACGGAGCUGAAGUCAGUCGAAGAUACCAGCUGGCUGCAACUGUUUAUUAAAAACACAGCACUGUGCAAACACGAAAGUGGACGUAUACGGUGUGACGCCUGCCCGGUGCCGGAAGGUUAAUUGAUGGGGUCAGCGCAAGCGAAGCUCCUGAUC
rnacentral:rRNA from 1 species